rnacentral:rRNA from 1 species
UGAGUAACCUGCCCUUAACUCUGGGAUAAGCCUGGGAAACUGGGUCUAAUACCGGAUAUGACUCCUCAUCGCAUGGUGGGGGGUGGAAAGCUUUUUGUGGUUUCGGAUGGACUCGCGGCCUAUCAGCUUGUUGGUGAGGUAAUGGCUCACCAAGGCGACGACGGGUAGCCGGCCUGAGAGGGUGACCGGCCACACUGGGACUGAGACACGGCCCAGACUCCUACGGGAGGCAG